ensembl:misc_RNA Metazoa_SRP Metazoan signal recognition particle RNA
GCUGGGUGUGGUGGCUCACGCCUAUAAUCCCAGCACUUUGGGAGGCCGAGGCAGGUGGAUUACCUGAGGUCAGGAGUUCGCCACCAGCCUGACCAACAUGGUAAAACCCUGCCUCUA